rnacentral:rRNA from 1 species
UACGUAGGGUGCAAGCGUUGUCCGGAAUUAUUGGGCGUAAAGAGCUCGUAGGCGGUUUGUCGCGUCUGCUGUGAAAACGCGAGGCUCAACCUCGCGCCUGCAGUGGGUACGGGCAGACUAGGGUGCGGUAGGGGAGAUUGGAAUUCCUGGUGUAGCGGUGGAAUGCGCAGAUAUCAGGAGGAACACCGAUGGCGAAGGCAGAUCUCUGGGCCGUAACUGACGCUGAGGAGCGAAAGCAUGGGGAGCGAACAGG